UGGGGAAUAUUGGACAAUGGGCGCAAGCCUGAUCCAGCCAUGCCGCGUGAGUGACGACGGCCUUAGGGUUGUAAAACUCUUUCGCUAGGGAAGAUAAUGACGGUACCUAGUAAAGAAGCCCCGGCUAACUCCGUGCCAGCAGCCGCGGUAAUACGGAGGGGGCUAGCGUUGUUCGGAAUCACUGGGCGUAAAGCGCGCGUAGGCGGGCUGGUCAGUUGAGGGUGAAAUCCCGGGGCUUAACCUCGGAACUGCCUUCAAUACUGCCAGUCUUGAGUUCGAGAGAGGUGAGUGGAAUUCCUAGUGUAGAGGUGAAAUUCGUAGAUAUUAGGAAGAACACCAGUGGCGAAGGCGGCUCACUGGCUCGAUACUGACGCUGAGGUGCGAAAGUGUGGGGAGCAAACAGGAUUAGAUACCCCCGUAGUCC
rnacentral:rRNA from 1 species